GGGAACUGCAUUCGAAACUGGCAGGCUUGAGUCUUGUAGAGGGGGGUAGAAUUCCAGGUGUAGCGGUGAAAUGCGUAGAGAUCUGGAGGAAUACCGGUGGCGAAGGCGGCCCCCUGGACAAAGACUGACGCUCAGGUGCGAAAGCGUGGGGAGCAAACAGGAUUAGAUACCCUGGUAGUCCACGCCGUAAACGAUGUCUACUUGGAGGUUGUGCCCUUGAGGCGUGGCUUCCGGAGCUAACGCGUUAAGUAGACCGCCUGGGGAGUACGGCCGCAAGGUUAAAACUCAAAUGAAUUGACGGGGGCCCGCACAAGCGGUGGAGCAUGUGGUUUAAUUCGAUGCAACGCGAAGAACC
rnacentral:rRNA from 1 species